rnacentral:rRNA from 1 species
UACGUAGGUGGCGAGCGUUGUCCGGAUUUACUGGGCGUAAAGAGCGCGCAGGCCGCUGGUCAAGUCCGAUGUGAAAGCUCCCGGCUUAACUGGGAAAUUGCAUCGGAAACUGAUCGGCUGGAAGGUGGGAGAGGGUAGCGGAAUUCCCGGUGUAGUGGUGAAAUGCGUAGAUAUCCGGAGGAACACCAAAGGCGAAGGCAGUGUCCUGGGGAGUACCUGACGCUCAGGUGCGAAAGCCAGGGGAGCGAACGGG